CCUACGGGUGGCAGCAGUGGGGAAUAUUGCACAAUGGGCGCAAGCCUGAUGCAGCCAUGCCGCGUGUGUGAAGAAGGCCUUCGGGUUGUAAAGCACUUUCAGCGGGGAGGAAGGCGUUAAGGUUAAUAACCUUGGCGAUUGACGUUACCCGCAGAAGAAGCACCGGCUAACUCCGUGCCAGCAGCCGCGGUAAUACGGAGGGUGCAAGCGUUAAUCGGAAUUACUGGGCGUAAAGCGCACGCAGGCGGUCUGUCAAGUCGGAUGUGAAAUCCCCGGGCUCAACCUGGGAACUGCAUUCGAAACGGGCAGGCUAGAGUCUUGUAGAGGAGGGUAGAAUUCCAGGUGUAGCGGUGAAAUGCGUAGAGAUCUGGAGGAAUACCGGUGGCGAAGGCGGCCCCCUGGACAAAGACUGACGCUCAGGUGCGAAAGCGUGGGGAGCAAACAGGAUUAGAUACCCUUGUAGUC
rnacentral:rRNA from 1 species